UACGUAGGUGGCGAGCGUUGUUCGGAAUUACUGGGCGUAAAGCGUGUUCAGGCGGCCUAGCAAGUCGGGCAUGAAAUCUCUCGGCUCAACCGGGAGAGGCUGUCCGAUACUGCUGGCUUGAGGACGGUAGAGGGUGGUGGAAUUCCGCGUGUAGUGGUGAAAUGCGUAGAUAUGCGGAGGAACACCAGUGGCGAAGGCGGCCACCUGGACCGUCCCUGACGCCCAAACACGAAAGCUAGGGUAGCGAACGGG
rnacentral:rRNA from 1 species